GAAAAUUCCAAAAUGCAGACCUCGACGAGAAAUGUGGACGUAACCCUCUGCAGUUGAGCCCAGAAAGGAAAGACGGCGUUCUACGUGAGCUGCUUAAAAACCCCAAGGCUCCCUGAGGAGUCACCGCCGGGCACACAGCAAUAGUCCACGUCCUCCCCCAUCGCCCUUCCUCCCCAGAUGUUGCCUCCUGCUGCGCCAUCUUCACAGCCCAGAGGCAGCAGGAGGCAACAUCUGGGCCCUCCACCGAGGAGUGGGUCUCGGCAGAGAGCGGCUCCCGGCGCCCAGCUCCUGCUGCCAUCGAUGCGGCUGCGCUUGAGUUCCGGUGUUUGCCAGCGGGCCCGUGUUUAGUAAAAUGUCACCUAUUGAAAGUCUCUUGGCCCACAUCUGCGUGCUCCUCCGUGGGUUGACCUGGAAGCUAUGUUCUGUGCUGUGUGUGUUGUUCGUAUGCGCAGACACAUAUGCAUGGGCUUUUGUGCAGGUGUGUUCCUACGGCUUCCAAACACGGUGGCUGUAACGAGGGUCGGUCCGGUGAGAGCCUGUGUAACUCGCUCAGCCUGCGGCAGAAAUCAGGACAGAAGACACCGGUCGAGAUGAAUGUCUCCCGUCACAGGCACCGGGGGAGUCGGUCCUCAGAGGCCCUGGCCGCCGAGAGCCAGCGGAGCCGCCAGGCACCGGCCCGCCCUCCCCUGCGCUCAGGGUGCCAGGCCCUCCCCGGACCCUCUCUUUCCGCACAGCCGUGCCAGGAGGCGUGCUGUGGGCCUCCCACCACAGGAGAGGGGACCUGGGACAGGUUUCUGGGACUCGGGCCCGCAGCCUUUCUACGCCCAGCACCAGGGAGGUCCAACACAUUGUCUGCCUCAUUCCCCAACACCCCUGCUUUUACCCAAUUCUGUUUUGUUUUACAACCAAAGAAUUGUCCUUUUUGCUGAGCUGAGUGCCGUCGGGAUAAGGAGAGGAGGGGCCCUGGCAGUGUCGUUCUGAGUGUGUGAUCGGGUUUCCUGGGAGUCGGAUGCUAUGAUGAAGGCCCCUGAGCAGUUCCCUUCAACAUGCGACCUGGUGGGGAACCAGCUACCCAAGGACAAAGCUGCCGGCUCACCCGCGGCCCCGCGCCGAGAGCCGGGGCGUGGACAGGGGCUCCCGGAGCCACCACGUGAGCUGAACGGAUGCCUCGUCUGCAUUAAGAAGCUGUGGGCCCGUGAGCGCCACCACUGUCAGCCCGUCCCCCGACCCCUGUCCUCAUGAAGCCACGGGUCUGACUUCUCCACGCCCAGACUGAGGUGAGGACGUGGGGGCAGUUUGAAAUGGAGUUUCCCAGCCUCACCCCGAAUCUGUAGCAAAGCAAA